rnacentral:rRNA from 1 species
CCGGUUGAUCCUGCCGGACCUGACUGCUAUCGGAUUGGUACUAAGCCAUGUGAGUCAUUGUAGCAAUACAAGGCAGACGGCUCAGUAACACGUAGUCAAUCUACCCUAUGGACGGGGAUAACCUCGGGAAUCUGAGGAUAAAACCCGAUAGAUCAUGAUACCUGGAACGGUUUAUGGUCCAAAUGAUUCGUCGCCGUAGGAUGGGACUGCGGCCUAUCAGCUUGUUGGUGAGGUAAUGGCCCACCAAGGCUAUUACAGGUACGGGCUCUGAGAGGAGAAGCCCGGAGAUGGGUACUGAGACACGGACCCAGGCCCUAUGGGGCGCAGCAGGCGAGAAACCUUUGCAAUGUGCGCAAGCACGACAAGGUUAAUCCGAGUGUUUCCUGCUAAAGGAAUCUUUUGUCAGUUCUAAAAAUACUAAUGAAUAAGGGGUGGGCAAGUUCUGGUGUCAGCCGCCGCGGUAAAACCAGCACCUCAAGUGGUCAGGAGGAUUAUUGGGCCUAAAGCAUCCGUAGCCUGUUCUAUAAGUUUCCGGUUAAAUCCAUUAGCUCAACUAAUGGGCCGCCGAAAAUACUGUGGAACUAGGGAGUGGGAGAGGUAGACGGUACUCGGUAGGAAGGGGUAAAAUCCUUUGAUCUAUUGAUGACCACCUGUGGCGAAGGCGGUCUACCAGAACACGUUCGACGGUGAGGGAUG